ACCAGAGGCGGCGCGGCGGGCCGGGCCCACGCCGCCCGCCCAAGGUCACGGCGCGGUGUGCGGGGAGCCUCGGGCGGCCCCGGCCGCCACCUUCCCGCCCCCUCGGCGCCUCAUGGCCGCCCCACCCACCCCGCGGCCGUCGGCGAGCAAAAUGGAGGUGGCGGGGUCCCUUCCGACGGUACCCCUCGCCCCCCUGUUGUAGUCCCGUGGAGGAUGGCAGGGGUCUGGCCCCUAUCUUGCCCCCGCCCUGGAGCAGGCGGUGAGGAGCCUUCUCCCCGCGCCCUUGCAGCCAUUUUACAAAUUAGCUGGCCCGCUCCAGGAAAUGGAAGCCGCCGACCUCCCGCCGCUUGGUCAUUCAUGCAGGGGCAUGCGGUAUCCAGCCCUCCAACGCAGCGUGGAGCUGGCGGCCGCCUCCAUCUCAGAACCUUCUGGGUUUCUCCUCAGAGGUGUCCUCCUCAAGUGCUGCCACUGUGGGGCUGCCCGCGUGGAGACGCCAUGGUCUCCUUCUGGCCCAGCACAGGUGGCCUCCAUGAGGCGCAUCUGCGCGAAGGUGCUCCGUGAAGGAAAGGGCUCCGUUCCUCUGGAGGUUUCUCAAGUAGCAAGGCGUUUUCAUGCGGUUUCAUGGCUGUACGUUGUGAGAGAGAUGUUUCACCAGAUUUCCAUGCAAGCAUGAGGAUCAACUCAUUGCAGUCAGCUUGACAUCACGUGAGAAAAAAGCAAUGGAGAAAAAACUGCCUGAAGAAUGAAGGCAUGGGAUGGUGUAUCAUAGGAGAAGGAACAGAGACAGUGUAUGUGAAUGUCAGAAAAGAAGAAAGUACGGAAAUUACCCUGCUAGAGGAGACUUCGCUGUCAAAACAGUGUUUCCCUAAACCAGUACAAGCAGUGUUCUGUAACAGCAGUCAUUGAAAAGAGCAAGAAGAAAACCUGGUAGUGAGUAAGACUUACCAGAUAGAAGUGGCUCAGAAUUGGCUUCUGGUGUGAGUCAGCAAAGGUAUGUUUUCCAUGAAUUAUUGUCACAGCCACAUAACAGCCACUGUAGAGGAUGCUUUACCAGAACACAUACUUGUUCUGGAGCAUAAAUGAUUAUGUAGGACCUCACUCAAAGAACAUGGAAAUGAACGGAAGUGUUCUUUUGACCUCUACGAUUUUGAGUGCCUUCCACAGCUGUUCACCUCUCCUUCUGGUUCCUCUUGCCAUCCUGUUGUAUCAUUUACGGUUUCAUUUUAUGAAACUGAACCAUGUCUGGCAAAAAGGACUGAAGCUAAUCAUUGUUGUGUCUUUUCCUAUAUUGAAAAUUAAGAUGGCUUUGUCUUUGGCUGAACAUAUUGGUUCUUUGCCAGCACCUCCCAAAGACACUAAAAAUAACAUCUUUCCAUGUUCUGCUCUCUCUUGUUUGCAAAUGCUGUUCUUGCACCUGACGUGGUCAUAGAUAAUAGAAAGGUACCCGAACAGUCCUUUUAAAACCAAAAGAUCUGCUAACUUUGUGCCUAGUGAUAAAAAUAAAUGGGAUCUACAUGUGGGAAAGUGUAGAUCAUGUAGAAAUAAAUUUCAUAUGGGAACUCUCUUUCAAAAUUGGCAGCACAACUGUUUUCAACAGAUUUAGGAAGUCAUCAUAUACAUUAAGUGGGAGCAAAUGACAAGUGUUAUUUUCUUAUAUUCCUGUAUAUCUUGAACAUCAGGUAAGAAUCCAUGGUAAGAGACACUGGGUUUUGGUCUCAUUUUUAUGUGGGUAGAAACGGAAGUGUGAAGAGGAUAACUCAAGUGCUUUGUUCUGUUAAGCAAAAAAUAAAGUUGUGUGAAUACCUAAGAAUGUUAGAAGUUGUAAUGCAACGUGGGACUUGAAACUUGGGCAGUGCCAGUUAAAGGAAGUUGGGUUAAGUUUUAUCAGUAUUAUGUGGACAGUCUGCACGAGAAUCCUUAUAAAGAAUCCAUAAAUAGCAAGACAAGAUAGAAAACACUGAAAUGACUGAAAAAUUCUCUUAAGGGGAAACACCUGACAAAUUCAGCAUCGUUUACAUACGAAGCAUACAUAAUAUUCAGUGAUCAUAGUACAUUACAGCAUGUUAGUAAGCUAAUUGAUAUCUUUCCCCGAAAUUUCGUGCUAUUAAAAUUGCACUGAGCUAGCAAUAUCUACUAAUAUGUAAAUAUGCAGAGUUUGAAGGCGUACUUGUGUAUAUUUGUAUGUUAAGCAAUACAGCGUUUUGUGCAUGGACUCCUUUUGGGUCUCUGUAUUUUCCACUCACAAAACAUCCUCUGUAUAGCUAGGCUAUUCAUGAGGGCAGCACAAUGAGAAGCAGUAACUCUGAAUGGUUAUAGUAAUAACUCUGAAACCAUGCAAGGACAGAUAACAAUUCAGAAAACUAAAAGACUUCUUCCUUACUAAUGAAGGGCAAUAUGGAGCCUGAUCCAUUUAUGAGAAGGAUUACACAAAGUCAGUACUUGUCAGGGUGGAGAACCUGAAGCUAGAAGUCCAAGUGUCUCCAUGUCCAUUUUUCUAUGCUUAUGUGUAAAAAACAUAAUACACCAAAGUGUUUCAAAAAUACACGUGUUUGUUAGAGAAUCACAGAAUAAUGGAUACUGGAGAAAAACCUCCUUAGAUUGUCUAGUCCAUCUCAAAGCAGGAUCAACCAGAUGCAUUUGCUCAGGACCUUCUCCACUUGUGUUUUGAACAUCUUCAAGGAUGGAGAUUCCUCAGCCUGUCUGAGCAACUUGUUCUGGUGUUCAACCACUCUCACAGUAAAAAAAUAAAAAUAAAAAAAAUUACUUAAGAUAAAAUGGAUUUUUAAAUUAGAAUCAUAAAGCUAUAUUUAAUCAGUUUAUUUUCCAUGAGAUUUUCAGAAUAGUUUCCCAAAUAAGAAACGUUAGUAUCUUGAACAUGAUGGUCUGAAAAAUGAAAUGUAACAAGGUACAAUGAUUCUCCAGAUCAUACCAAGCUGCAGAGUCAGGGACAAAAUCCAUGUCACAAUUCUCAAGCUCUUGCUCCAGCAAUUGAUUAAAUUAUAUCUGGCAUUGUUUCUGAUUGCAUCAUAUAAGCAGGGACUUAUUUUUGUGGUUAUAGGAUUCUUGGGACCUGGAUAUUAUGUUGGAUUUUAUUCAAUAAAAUGCAUAUAUGUGA